UACGUAGGGUCCGAGCGUUGUCCGGAAUUACUGGGCGUAAAGAGCUUGUAGGCGGUUUGUCGCGUCUGCUGUGAAAAUCCGGGGCUCAACCCCGGACUUGCAGUGGGUACGGGCAGACUAGAGUGUGGUAGGGGAGACUGGAAUUCCUGGUGUAGCGGUGAAAUGCGCAGAUAUCAGGAGGAACACCGAUGGCGAAGGCAGGUCUCUGGGCCACUACUGACGCUGAGAAGCGAAAGCAUGGGGAGCGAACAGG
rnacentral:rRNA from 1 species